GGAGAUUUCUGGGUGGUGACGCGGGAGACCCUGGGAGGGGCCGGGGGACUGUCACCCGCUGUGAAGGUGCCUCUGUCUGGGUGUGGGGACUGGCUUGGCUGGGGAGGGCGGAGAGCUUCCCGGUGCUCGGCUCAGGGCUCACAGGGCACCCUGGUGUCUCGGAUUGUUUCUGGGAAGCCCCUGGGGAUAGAAACAGAGAGUCGAGGAAUUACUUCAGAGCUGACCCGGGAGCUUGAGAGGCCAGGGGCCCAGGGAGGAGCUGCCCUUUGUUUCACCAGCUGCUGGCUCAACAGCAAGAUCGGAGGAAAUCAGAUAAACAGAGGGACUUCCCUGUUGUUUGGCUUGAGAGUUGGCGAUUGUGAAGCUAAUGGGUUCUCCCAUCCCAGAGAAGGAAACUGAGGCCCAGAGACACGAUAUGGCUGAGGCCCUGCAGCCGACCGGGACGGAACCCAGCUGUGUUCCCCGUUCUCCCACCGUGACACGGUCCCCUUUGCUCCACUGGCUCCCCUUUGUCCUCCCACCUCCAACUUCAAGUUCUGGCUCGUGGUCAGAAGGGUCCACUUCCUUUUCUCUUCCAACGGGCGCGCGAGGAUGGAGAGCGGGUGCUGCUGCCUUUAGGUGAUGCUCCCCCCUUCCGUGCCCCCCCCCCCCCCGGCUCUCAGUGAGGACGAGCCUGCCCGUCCGCGUACAGAAGGGCGCUCGGGCUCCAGGCUCCGCUCAGCUCGCGGCAGGGAAGCGAUGGGCACGGCGCCCUGGGACGGCCUCCGCUUUGGCAGGCUGGCUGUGCCCCCUGGGGGUCGUGGCCUGGUGCCCACUGGCAGGGGGGGUGCGUCAGCUUGCCGCUUGGCAUCCACGGAGGCCAGGUGCUGGCUGCACACCUGGGCGGCAUCUUGCCCCGCCGGCCCGUCCUGGUUUGUCACCCGAGGUUUGUAGAUGUGUGGGAAUCUCAGGAGGACGGUCUCUGCGUGGGCCAAGGACGCCGGCACCUCCAGACAGGCAGAGGGACACCUCCCUGCCAGCCCGAGCCCCAGCUCUCCGUCGCCGAGGAGUUCUCCAUGUCCCGCUCCUCACCUCGUGUCGGACGCUGCCGGGUCAGAUGAGCGUGGAGACGAGGAAGGCAUUUGACGUGUUGCGAAGACACUCAAAUUUCUGAUGUGCCAAGCAAGUAAGUGAUCCACCUGAGAAGCAAAUCCUCCAGCCCCAGGCAAGUCUACGAGAACUGCAGCCCUGGCUGACAUGUUGCAUGUCGCUUCAAAGACCCCGAGCCAGGACUACCCACCUACGUCACUCCUGAGUUCCUUACCCACAGAAGCUGUGGGGGUAACAGAUGUUCAUUAUUGUUUUAAUCCACUAUGCUCUGGGGAAAUUCGUUAUGCACCGACAGAUAACGAAUACACUGGGAUACAGCACAGGUAAAAGGAAGAGGCUAGCCUUGGAGAGGAAGCAUACCCCUGAAAUAAAGGAAAAGUGGAUGCUCUGAGAAUUUAGUCUAGGGAUGGGGAAAAAAAGGAUGUUUGAUGACCAGUAUUUUCUCUAGAGAGUAAAAGGCAAAGCUGUCUGCUGAAAGUAAGGGUGGGAUAUAAGGACUAUAAAGUUGAGAAUAAUAAAAAAAUUGCAGUGGUUACGAGGUAAAUCUGAAAAAGCCAAACAGAAAUGAGUAUCUGAGUUAAGAAAUCCUACAUCUACAGUGGAGUCAGUUGGCAAAUUUACGUGAUUUUCUACCACUAUGCUCAAUAACCUAGAAGAAAUACAGUAUAAGAGAUGGUGGGUUUCACUUAACUUGGGAAUUGGUGAAGCAGAGACAGUAAAAGAGCAACGGGGUGGAGAAAACUCCGGGUGCUGAUUCAGGCCACUGAAGUGAUGACCACGAAGCUGACAGACAUGGAAAUGAGUUCAGGAGGAAACUCACAGCCCGGAAGAAUGAGAGGUCGAGUGCAAAUUACCAUUUAGGGAAGCAGGAUGGGUCUAGAAGCCACAAGCAGUAAAUCAGAUGUCCCAGGAUAUGGUCACAGCCAGUACUAACGAGCUACAGAUCCUUGGCAAAGAUCAUGGUCUUGAAGCCUCCUUUUCCGUCAUCCUGGGUUAAAGUAUGUAAACGACAGGUAAGAACGGUGGCUUGGCGACAGCAGAUGCUCUGUGACUAUGUACUUAUUGUUCCUAAUGUUUUAAAACUAUAUGAUAUUUAAUACACACACACGAAGCCUAAUAAGAUGAACACCAGGGAUCCUACCACCCAACUUACUGAACAGAAUAUUAAUACACUGGGUUUUUUACUGAUCCAUCUCCCUGGCUUCUCCCCUGAAGAUAACUACUAUCUUGAGUUUUGUGUUUAUCAUCUUCUUUCCUUUUUGUUAAAUGUUAUGUUCCACAUUUGUACAGGGCCUGUUUCUUCAUACGAAAGAUGAAGCUUUGGAUUAGGUGCUCUCUAAGCUCCCUUCCAGCUCCAAGGGGAUCUGAGAUAUGACGGGCGGGCAUCAAAGUCACAUACAUGUUUAGUGGAACCAUAUAAUAAAUGCUUAUUUUUCAAGGAUUUCAUACAGCUAAAACACUGACUCUUCCGUUGAAAUCUCCAAGUCAACAAAAGGGUUUCUCAAUGGAGCUUCUAAUCUCAAGAUCGAGACUUUCCGUCACUUUCAAUUUGCACCUCUGCUAGAAAGUUCCACCCUAGAGAAAACACAAGGAGCUAAAUAAUCUAAGCCCCUGACCCUGCCCAACAAAAACCUGAAACCCAAGACUGAGAAAAUAGAACUGAAACAGAUGAACCAGGAAAGCAUAUUUUCAAUGACAAGUAUUUUAAUAAAAAUGAAGAGGCAUGGCUGGGUUCAUAUGCAAUUUUUCAUACAACCUGGAUUUAUUUCCUCCACAUAAAAAUGUGUCCGCAUGUAUAAAAUAAAACGAC